UUUAGUAAUGGUCAGUGUUUCUUCUGUGACUAUUUACAGAGUCGAUCCUGAGAGCACACUUAAUUCAUUGUAGGUGCUGGAAACACACCGGCGCCAGUCAAAAUCUGCUGCUGUGCCUGAACCCUGAUUCUGUCUGCACUUUCAAUAAAUCAGACAACAGACACCCCAUCACAGACACAACAUGGCUCUAUGGGGACUCCCGUUUUACCUCAGGGAACCAAAUCUCCAAGAUUUAUUUGGACACUGAUAAAGAGGAGUGAAACUGGGCAUCCUUUAAGUCAUGGAGGACGAC